CGGGGGGCACAGAAUUGGGAGGCAAUCCCCUGGGCCUNUACUGACGCUCAUUGCACCAAAAGCGUGGGGGAAGCAAAACAGGAUUAAGAUACCCUGGUUAGUCCACGCCCUAAACGAUGUCAACCUNGUUGGUUGGGUCUUUCACUGACUCAGUAACGAAGCUAACGCGUGAAAGUUUGACCGCCUGGGGGAGUACGGCCCGCAAGGUUGAAACUCAAAAGGAAUUGACGGGGACCCGCACAAAGCAGUGGAUGAUGUGGUUUUAAUUCGAUGCAACGCGAAAAACCUUACCCACCUUUGACAUGUACGGAAUCCUUUAGAGAUAGAGGAGUGCUCGAAAGAGAGCCGUAACACAGGUGCUGCAUGGCUGUCGUCAGCUCGUGUCGUGAGAUGUUGGGUUAAGUCCCGCAACGAGCGCAACCCUUGCCAUUAGUUGCUACGAAAGGGCACUCUAAUGGGACUGCCGGUGACAAACCGGAGGAAGGUGGGGAUGACGUCAAGUCCUCAUGGCCCUUAUAGGUGGGGCUACACACGUCAUACAAUGGCUGGUACAGAGGGUUGCCAACCCGCGAGGGGGAGCUAAUCCCAUAAAGCCAGUCGUAGUCCGGAUCGCAGUCUGCAACUCGACUGCGUGAAGUCGGAAUCGCUAGUAAUCGCGGAUCAGAAUGUCGCGGUGAAUACGUUCCCGGGUCUUGUACACACCGCCCGUCACACCAUGGGAGCGGGUUCUGCCAGAAGUAGGUAGCCUAANCCGUAAGGAGGGCGCUUACCACGGCAGGGUUCGUGACUGGGGUGAAGUCGNUAACAAGGUAACCA
rnacentral:rRNA from 1 species